UGACGACCUUGCGUCUAGUGCGCAGGAAGUAUUACCUCUCUCUUCCUGUGAGAUCUUCCCUCUGAUGGCGGUCAAGUACGUGUCGGAGCGCAUGGAAAAAGUAUCUUGGCCCCGAACUCUGACCACAAAGGGAAUAACGUCUGUCAAGUUAUUUGUGUCUGAAAAUCCCGAUUGGUUUUUUUGAACUACUAGAAGGAUUCUGGAGAACCACUGACGGCGAGAACAGCCCAAAUGAGAUCCUGGAUGAUCGUGAAAUGGUGUGGCCAGCCAUGCGAUCGGAUUGUGGGAUUUGCCUGAGAAACUGAUUCAAGCAACCCUGGAUUACAGAUAAGCCCUAUGCACUACUUUUCCUACCCGGAUAAUAGGGUUUGCACACUGACAAUUC